CCUACGGGUGGCAGCAGUGGGGAAUAUUGGACAAUGGGGGGAACCCUGAUCCAGCCAUGCCGCGUGUGUGAAGAAGGCCCUCGGGUUGUAAAGCACUUUCAGUGAGGAAGAACGCCUGGUGGUUAAUACCCAUCAGGAAAGACAUCACUCACAGAAGAAGCACCGGCUAACUCCGUGCCAGCAGCCGCGGUAAUACGGAGGGUGCGAGCGUUAAUCGGAAUUACUGGGCGUAAAGCGCGCGUAGGUGGCUUGAUAAGCCGGUUGUGAAAGCCCCGGGCUCAACCUGGGAACGGCAUCCGGAACUGUCGAGCUAGAGUGCAGGAGAGGAAGGUAGAAUUCCCGGUGUAGCGGUGAAAUGCGUAGAGAUCGGGAGGAAUACCAGUGGCGAAGGCGGCCUUCUGGACUGACACUGACACUGAGGUGCGAAAGCGUGGGUAGCAAACAGGAUUAGAUACCCUGGUAGUC
rnacentral:rRNA from 1 species